rnacentral:rRNA from 1 species
AUACGUAGGGGGCGAGCGUUGUCCGGAAUGAUUGGGCGUAAAGGGCGCGUAGGCGGCCUGUUGAGUCUGGAGUGAAAGUCCUGUUUUCAAGAUGGAAUUGCUUUGGAUACUGAUGGGCUUGAGUGCAGGAGAGGUUAUCGGAAUUCCCGGUGUAGCGGUGAAAUGCGUAGAGAUCGGGAGGAACACCAGUGGCGAAGGCGGGUAACUGGACUGCAACUGACGCUGAGGCGCGAAAGUGUGGGGAGCAAACAGGAUUAGAUACCCUGGUAGUCCACACUGUAAACGAUGGAUGCUAGGUGUAAGAGGUAUCGACCCCUUUUGUGCCGGAGUUAACACAAUAAGCAUUCCGCCUGGGGAGUACGGCCGCAAGGUUGAAACUCAAAUGAAUUGACGGGG